UGCAGCCAUAUCACAUUAAAAUACUGGUUCCCAUAUGAUUAUCACAGUUAAGCAAUGUCAUGCUUGGUCAGUACCUAAAUGGGUGACCACUUGGGAAUAUCAGGUAGUGUAA